UCCCAAUAAGCAUUUGCCUUUGGUAUUCCCAGUGAGCUAUUAGUUGAAAACUCUCCAGACUUAACUAAUAUCCAUUGGGAUUAUGCGUUUUUCAUUUUCCUUGCACUUUUCAGUUUUCUUUACUGACCCUGUGUCACAGGAAUCAGAUGAAGAAAAACAUUUUUCAGUCCAACCUAUAUAUCAACUGCUAUUUUGUUCAUAGAAUGAUGAGGGUUGAUCCUGCAUCACACAGGAUUAAGGUAUAUAACAGAAUGGUGAUGAAAUGUAAGCUUUUCUGUAUUAACUUCAAGUGCAUCUUCUGGAAUUACCAAACUCUAUGCCUAUUUAAAGAAUUCUAUAGUUCAGAGGCAUUAAAAAUGUCCAAACCAUGGCAUUUUCUCUUUUUCCCACAACAGCACAACGUUUGGAUUCUUGGCAGGGCAUAUAAAACAGUAAGUGUGGGAGUGAUAUCUAAAACACCGUAUUAUCUUGUGCUCUAAGAUCCAGAGAUUCCAUAUGACACUGACUUGAAGGAGGUAUAAUUAAGGAGACUGAGUAGGAAACUCAAAGAGAGGAAAUCAUUCCUGUUCAUUUUUACAGUUUGUCAGUUGACUUUGCUGCUCCUGUUUUUUUCCUAUCUUCCAUGAUUUUAAAGAAAACUUCAAGUUGAUGUGCAGUUCAUUCUGUAUGUUUUCAAGGUUCAUGGCAUCACUGCACAAACCUACGGAAAGCUUUGUGAAAACAGUGCCUGGGCACAGCGCUGACAGUCCUCACCCAACUCCCUGGAAGCAACCAGAGUCCCAAGAAAAACAACCACCAAG